AUACGGAGGGUGCGAGCGUUAAUCGGAAUUACUGGGCGUAAAGGGUGCGUAGGCGGCUUGAUAAGUCGGAUGUGAAAGCCCCGGGCUUAACCUGGGAAUUGCAUUCGAUACUGUUAGGCUAGAGUAUGUCAGAGGUUGGCGGAAUUCCUGGUGUAGCGGUGAAAUGCGUAGAUAUCAGGAGGAACACCAGUGGCGAAGGCGGCUAACUGGGGCAAUACUGACGCUGAGGCACGAAAGCGUGGGGAGCAAACAGGAUUAGAAACCCUAGUAGUCC
rnacentral:rRNA from 1 species